AUGAGUUUCUUUACCAGACAUUCAUACAUAUAUGACAUUAUACUUUGUUCUUAUUAAUCCCCAUCCUCUACUGCCUUCUUCCAUCCUUCCUGCCUGCCUGUUGCUAAUUCUGUUUCUCUCUCAUUACCCUGUCUCUCCCCUAACACUUCCCUCUUAAGGUUUCUUUUUCCCCUCACAUGACCUCUUUCUUGAUUUAAUACGCAUGCGCACUAGAGACGUUUCUACAAACACCCUGAUUUCAUUCUUCUUUACAGCGUAAUGAAAUUCCAUUUUGUAUAUCUGUUAUUUUCUUUAUCUAAACAUUGGCUGAUGGACAUCUAGGCUGUUUCCAUUUCUCCACUAUCAUAACUAAUAAAACAAGAAGUAAGGAUGUGCAAGUAUCUCUGUAGUACACUGCCUUAGAGGACUUCAAUUAUAUACCCAGGAGUGAUACAGAUGAGUCAUAUAUUCUACUUUAGUUUUUUUUUUUUCUUUAAGACAUGGUCUUCAACCUGUGGUGAUCCAUCUGCCUUGGCCUUCUAAACUCUGGGAUUACAUGUAUGAGUCAACACACUUGAGUUCUAUUUUCAGUUAUUUGAAGUACCUUUACACUGACUUCCUUAGUGCAUUCCCAUUUUUACAAUCCCACCAGAAGCACAGUAGAGUUCAUCUGUCCCAGCAUUUUUACCAGAAUUUGCUGCCUUUUUUUUUGAUGAUGAUGAUGAUAGAUAACCUUUCUGACAGGAGUGAGAUGAAUUCUCAAUUCAGUCUUAAUUUGCAUUUCCCUGACUCAUUCAUUUUUCAAUUCCUGUUAUGAAACAAAAUUUGUGACUAACUAUUCUUCUGCCACGCAUUUUUUUCAAGGCAGGGUUUUAUACUGGGUGUAAUGAUAUGUGACCAUAUACAUUGCACUCAAGAUGCAGCGGCUUUAGGACCACCACAAGUUCAAAGCCAGCCUGUACUACAUAGAAAAACUGUUUGUCAAAGACAAAAGAACAAAGAAAAUUCUUCUUUUUCUAUUUGACUUUACCAGUAAAUAAUUUUGAUUUCAAAUGUACUGGUAUCGUUAUAUUAAAAGACAAUAACUACAUCUAAAAGCUUUACCUGAUUAGGAAAUAACUCAUUUCAGAAUGUGUGGACUUUGGUACAGAAGUAUUAGUAAAUAUAUUCUUUCAUAAUUUUGAUGUUUCUUUAUAUUCUUCCUUAUCACUUCCUACAUUUGAAAAAUCAAACCUAUGAGCACCUUUUAAAAAUAUUUUAAAUAUACUUUUAGAAAAAAGAGAUUUUCAAAAUAAGGAACAACUUUUCUAGUUUAUAAAUCCACACUUCUCUUCCAUUUUUUGAUAUAAGGUCUCAUUCUGUAGUCUGGGUCAGCCCGAGACUCAGUACAUACCUCAAGCUGUCCUUGAACUCACAUCAGUUGUCCUGCUUCAGCUUCCCAGGUUCUCAAAUUACAGGCAUGAGUCCCCACCCUUGGCUUGAUCUUACAUUUUUUCAAUGCCAUAAUUAUAUUAUCCUUAUGUAAAACAUUGCUUGUGUUCUUAGAAAAUAUACACUCAAGAAUUUAUGGAUGGUAUGUGUAAUGAAGCCAACAACAUACUCUCAAAAAUGUCAUAAAAGGGAGAGAGACAGGGAAAAAAUGAGAAAUAAACAUGGCAAAAUAAUGUGCCAAAUUAAUGUACUUGAUGGAGACGUGGAUGCUCACUAUAUUAUCUCAAGGGAACAGAAAGGGAUAAUUGUUUGUUUCUUUACUUUUCUUUAUAUUUAGUUUGGUUUUUGAAAUGAGGUUUUUCUGUGUAGCCCUGGCUGUCCAAAAACUGGCUCUGUAGACCAGGCUGGACUUGAAUUGACAGAGAGCCACCUGCUUCUGUCCCCAGCUUCUGCCCUCUAAGUGCUGGGAUUAAAGGCCUGUGAGAUUGAGGGGUUGUUGUAGUUCUGAAGAGUAUUACAAAUCUGUUAACCAUUCAUGUCACAAUAGAUUGUUUUAAAGAUGAUGUUCAUGUGAGUGUGGUGGUAUAUGCCUUUCAUCUUAGCACUGGAAAGGUAGAGGGAGGAAUAUCAGGAGUUCCAGAUGUGUCUCAGUCACUUAGGGGUUUCAAGGACAGUCUCUACUAAAUGAGACUCCAUCGCAUAAAACCAAACAAAAAUAUUUUCCACCUUGCUAUGGAUGUUUACACAGUUUUCAAUACUCUUUAUAUCUACAAAAGCUUUAUAUCUAAAAAAUCUUGGAAACAAUUGUUCCAGAGAGGCUCAUGCAAGAAAUGCAGUAGAGUAUCAAUAUGAAUAGUCGAACCAACUCAAGUCCGGAUUCAAGCAUAGACAGAUGAUGUGCACAAAAGGAAGGAUGUUUGAGGUAAACAAAAAAGAAACAAACAAACAAAACAAAAAACGACUAAAGUAAAUUUCAUGCACCCAUGUAUUCCCUGUCUUUAAUACCAAAUGAAAGCUUUCCUCAAACCAUCCGGAUAACAGUUUGAAAAGCCGUAUCACUAUAAACCAUAUUCACUUUUAAUAUUUCCUGCCACAUAGGAUAGCACUAUCACAAGCUUGCUGAACUGAAUCAUCGAGACUGAAAUUCAAUGGGAAUAUAAUAUGUUUUUUCUCUUCUCUAAGUCAUCAGCACAACUGAAGUCAAGAGCCAUGGCGUUCCUGCAUAUUCUGCUUGUUAGGCCUUCUCAUUAAAAUGUAGAAUUUAAACAGUGUAGCAGUAGCAAAACAGAACUGAUGAAAUUAUAAAAAGAAAGGUUUUGAAGGCUGAACACAGUAGUGCUGACUUGUUAUCUCAGUAGUGAGAAGUCUGAAGCGUAAGAUCGCUGCAAGUUUGUACACAUCCUAGGCUACGCAGUAUGAUUUAAGGCCAUCCAGGGCUACACAAAUAGACUUUGUGUCAACUCUCGCAUGCGCGCAUACACACACACACACACACAUACACACACACACCGGGUGGGGUGGGGUGGAGCAUACAUGUAAACUGUUAUCAGAAUCAGGCUUAUUGGUGCACACCUAUAAUCCUAGCACUUUGGAAACUGAAGCAGGAAGUCCAGUGUGCAUUACCAAGGAAGAAAGAAUCCAUC
rnacentral:lncRNA from 1 species